rnacentral:other from 1 species
AGCUCCCUAGUGUGUGCGCCAGUUGGCAAUGUCCCAGAGCCGAUUCAUGCAAUACAGGGGAUUGCAUAGCUAAACCGGUGAGCAGUCCGCUUGCGGAACGCCUAAAGGUUUAAUGUGAUCUCCGCCUUGGACUUUCGGGUUCAAGGGCUACGCCGACAGCGGCACAUCCGGGGAGUCU